AUUGAACGCUGGCGGCAGGCCUAACACAUGCAAGUCGAGCGGAUGAACGGAGCUUGCUCCUGGAUUCAGCGGCGGACGGGUGAGUAAUGCCUAGGAACCUGCCUGGUAGUGGGGGAUAACGUCCGGAAACGGGCGCUAAUACCGCAUACGUCCUUAGGGAGAAAGUGGGGGAUCUUCGGACCUCACGCUAUCAGAUGAGCCUAGGUCGGAUUAGCUAGUUGGUGGGGUAAAGGCCUACCAAGGCGACGAUCCGUAAACGGGCUGAGAGGAGGAACAGUCACAAUGGGAACGAGAGCAGGGUCAGACCUCGAGGGGGGGGCGGGGGUGGGAAUUGUUGGAAAAGGGGGGAAGGCUGAACCAGGCAAGGCGGGGGGUUGAAGAAAGGCCUUGGGGUUGAAAAGCCCUUUAGGUUGGAAGAAAGGGAGGAAAAGUAAACCCUUUCUUUUUGACGGUACCCAAAGAAAAAGCCCCGGCUAAAUUUGUG
rnacentral:rRNA from 1 species